CCUACGGGAGGCAGCAGUGGGGAAUAUUGGUCAAUGGGGGCAACCCUGAACCAGCAACGCCGCGUGAAGGAAGAAGGCUUUCGGGUUGUAAACUUCUUUUGCCGGGGACGAAACAAAUGACGGUACCCGGCGAAUAAGCCACGGCUAACUACGUGCCAGCAGCCGCGGUAAU
rnacentral:rRNA from 1 species